GAUACGUAGGCUCGCACAACCCUCUCCUCGACUCCUCCUCUCCCCGACCUCUCUCCUCUCCUCCCAAUCUAGGCGGCUGCGCGUAUCCUUCCCAGCAGCGCCGCCGACCACAACUUCAACCUCGACCAGCAGCCCCCUCACUCAUUCUCGACCGCUAGCGGCAGCGCGCAUAAUGAAACGGCGGCGCCAUCUCCGCUGAUUUUCCUACCACGACGGUGUGCUUAGAGUCGUCCUUCAAGGUGGAACGCGACCACCCCUGCCAUCCAUCCCUCUAGGAAGAUCCUAUGCCACUGGCCUCGUGGCUCUGGAGCCCCUUGUAGGUGCACAACCAGGACAAACGUGUCAUAAGCAUCAAGGGAUUUGGGGCACUUAUCUGCAGGACAUGACACCUUCUCCUAUGGACGUUGAUGUCAAACCCUCCUCCCAAGGUCCAAACUUUGUGCUAUGAAGUAAAGGAAAUAUUUCUGGAGGAAACUAAUGUUCAUGUACGGUAUCUUUCCCACAAUUUUGCAAUGGCGCCAUUUUAUUAAUAUAGUUAAUUGGUUGUUACAAAAUAUAUGGAUGGUUUCCUCUGUUCAGUUUUAGUAACAUCAUGCCAUCAUCCUCAUAGUUUUGUUCUGCACUUGUAUUUAUUAAUGUUCUAUUCAGUUUUCUUGUGUGGAAGCGACCAGCUAGAAAAGGCAGGACGAGUUUCUUAAUAAUGAUCAUGUUUUGGUGCUACACACAAGAAGUUGCCUGCUCUGAGUUUUAUUUCACGAAGCAUACUUCAAUCUUUGAUACAAGUGGACAAUAGUGUUACUGUCGGCCUGUACUGGUUGCUGCUGCAGGAUCACAUGAAUCAUUUUUCUCCAGAAUUGUUGUGUCCAUCCGAGCAUUUUACUCUAUACAGACUCGGAAUCUAAGUUUUACCAUGUGAUGCCACGACAACUAUCUGGCAAACACGACUGAACCUUAUAAGCUAGCCUCAAGAACACAAAAGUCCAUUCCCUUUGGUUCUGCUGGUCCUCAUAAAUACUCAUGUUGCUUACUACAGUUCUGAGGUAUAUACAAGAAGAGAGGGUGCCAAUCAGGAUAUAGACUGUUAUGCUCAAACUUAUUCAACAUUAUUGCAGAAAGUUUGGUAGUUGCCAGAUGAAGUUGUUGAAGAGGAUUCAAGUUUCAUUUCAAUAAAAAGUAUUUGAUUGACUCUUUGCUGAAAUUAAUUUCAGUACACUAAUGCAUGGACGACACGGGUUGCAUGCUAGGUGUACUGACCUAUUACACAUCUUCACAUUUAUUCCAGUUCACUUUUGUUCUAAUACUCUUUGUUUUUCUCUUACCCAAGAGACCAGAUGUUACUUGCUAUAUCAGUUAUGUUGUCAUGCCACAGCCUGGUUGCUGGUCGACAUUUCAAUUUGGAUUAUAUUUAAUUCAUACAAGUCUAACGACACCCUUUUCCAUGCUGAUGUUUUGGUAAGGCUUUUCAUGUAUCGAAUGGAAUUAUUGGUCUGUCACUUUCUUACCGCCUGGCUGGUCUUUAAUAAAACAAGCAAACAAAACUGAAUUAUAUGAUUAGUACAUAUCCAUACUAUGUAGGAUAGUUUUAUUUGAUAAUUCUAACAAAUCAUAAUCCUUGUUAGCACUCUUAUCACAUGAAUGCGAUGAACUCCGUGAGAAAUGGCUAGGUGCAUCAGGCCCACCCAGUUCUUUGUUUCCGAACAUGGUGGCCCUUUAGGCUCUCACCUAAUUCUUUAUUUCUGAAUAUGGUGACCCUUUAGUAGAGGCUUGUGAAGAGUUUGAUAAUGCACCAUGUAUACAAUCUAUGGCUUAUUGCUUAUUUUGUCUUGAUAGUACUGAUUAGUUGUAUUUACUAUCUAAAUUGUUCUAUAUAUUUUAUACCCAGCCAAUUUGAAUA